UUAACUCAAAGUUGUAUGCAGCUGGAACGUUUGCCGCGCUGUUCCAAUUGCGUACAAAUUUGAGUUA
rnacentral:pre_miRNA from 1 species